GGGGGUUUAGCUCAGCAGUGUAAGUGCCUGCCUGACAAGCAGGAGGUUGUGAGUUCAAUACCCAGUACCCCCC
rfam:Cavia porcellus supercont2_193 genomic scaffold, whole genome shotgun sequence.